GCCAUGCGAGGCCGGGACAGCCUCCUCCGCGAAUUCGCCGCCGUCAACGAGCAGAUCCAGGCCGCGCUCGACCAGCUGCCCUACCACGACUUCGACAUGCCAGAGGAGGUGCAGGAGCAGGUGGCGCUGGUGCACUCGCAGUUCAAGCGGGCGGCGACGAGGGCGGAGCCGGCCGACGCGCAGCUCGCCAGGGACCUCGCCUGGGCGCUCAGCGACGACAAGCCCACCGUGCCGGCCCUCCUCAUGAGGGUCUCCGAGAAGCUGCAGCUCGAGACCAUGGCUGACAUGAAGCGCGAGUCCGUGGCGCUGCACGAGAUGGUCAUCUCCAGCGGCGGCGAGCCCGAAGGCUGUGUCGACGAGAUGUCCUCCCUGCUCAAGAAGCUCAAGGACUGUGUCAUCGCCCAGGCCCCCUCCGCCGAGGGUCCCGGUGUGGGCAGGUCUCCCUCCGUGAAGUCCCCCAUCAUCCCAGACGAGUUCAGAUGCCCCAUUUCGCUCGAGCUGAUGCAGGACCCCGUCAUCGUCUCCAGCGGCCAGACGUACGAGCGGUCCUGCAUCCAGAAGUGGCUUGAUUCUGGGCACAAGACCUGCCCCAAGACGCAGCUGGCCCUCACGCAUACUUCCCUCACCCCAAACUUUGUCCUCAAAAGCCUGAUAGCGCAGUGGUGCGAAGCCAAUGGCAUCGAGCUUCCCAAGAACAAAGCCAACUCCCAUGACAAGAAAGCGGUCAAAAGCUCCGACUAUGACAAUGCUGGUCUCAUCUCGCUGAUGAAUAGGCUGCGGGGUGGGAACCAGGACGAGCAACGGGCAGCUGCGGGGGAGAUCCGGUUGCUUGCCAAGAGAAACGUGAACAACCGGAUAUGCAUCGCUGAAGCAGGGGCCAUUCCGCUGCUGGUCAAUCUGCUCUCCUCUUCCGAUCCAAGAACGCAGGAACACGCCGUCACGGCACUCCUUAACCUCUCCAUCCAUGAGAACAACAAGGCAAGCAUCGUGGAUUCCAAUGCCAUCCCUAAGAUAGUGGAAGUGCUAAAAACUGGGAGUAUGGAAGCCAGAGAGAAUGCCGCGGCCACGCUGUUUAGCCUGUCAGUUGUGGAUGAAAAUAAAGUCACUAUCGGCGCUGCUGGUGCGAUACCUCCGCUCAUCAAUCUUCUGUGCGACGGGAGCCCAAGAGGCAAGAAAGAUGCGGCAACGGCAAUUUUCAACCUGUGCAUAUAUCAGGGCAAUAAGGUCCGGGCGGUGAAAGCUGGAAUCAUCACCCAUCUGAUGAACUUCUUGGUGGAUCCCACUGGGGGAAUGAUUGACGAGGCGCUCACUCUUUUGUCGAUUCUUGCCGGUAAUCAAGAAGGCAAGUCUGUAAUUACACAAUCAGAGCCAAUGCCUCCACUAGUCGAGGUGAUCAAAACUGGCUCUCCUCGCAACAGGGAGAAUGCGGCAGCCAUUCUUUGGUCUCUCUGUUCUGCUGAUGCUGAACAAACCAUGGCUGCAAAGGCAGCUGGAGGGGAAGAUGCACUCAAGGAGCUGUCAGAAACCGGCACAGACCGCGCAAAAAGGAAAGCUUCUAGCUUACUUGAACUCAUGCGCCAAUCAGAAGAGGCAUGAAUCGGGCAACAUAGAUUUGUUCAAACGCGAGAACAGGAUUUUUAAUUAUUAAAGGAAGCGACAAGGAAUCCCUUGGGUAGCUCUGCUUUGUGGGUGAUGUGUCUGGUGGCUUCACUCUGAAAAGGGAUCUCGAUAGGUUGCAACUGGGAGUACAAUAUGCGCCCGAACUGAUCGCCUGGUGCGAAAAUCGACGACCAAGAUCCACUUCAGCUUGGUACUGACCUGUGGGAGAUCUGUGGUGGGAAGCGGCACGUGUCUGUUCCCUGAGCAUCGGUUCAUUUAUGAUGUUCGAUCCUGGCCGUCGGUUGCCUGCCGG